rnacentral:lncRNA from 1 species
UGCAUCAUGGGAUAGAAAUGGCCAUAUGCUUGUCUUGCGACGAAGUAGUCUGCGUAGGUCAAGCAAACUUUGAGUAAAAAAAAUAUUCACUUGCUCAGCUUUAUAUCUAGUAAUACCCAUUCGUAGCGAGAGGGAGAAGACGCAAGAUACUUUUAAUACGUAACUGGCAGUUGGGAAAGAGUCGAGGCAUGUUGAGAGAUGGACAAGAAGCAGCCGCAGCACGCUCCAGCUGUUGAUGACCUGCAGACUGCAUUCAAGAAGUUGAGGGUCAAUUCAGCAGUGAAAGCAGACGAGUGACACCUGGUCUUCAGAAGCACCACCACCAUCACCACCACUAUCACAACCAUCUAUCGGCUCCCGUCCGCAAGUUCCGGUCACGGUCUGCGUCGACGAGUGUCCCCGAGGGCAGCAUGGAGCAGAAGUUGGCCACCGUCUCUGAACAGUUGGAGCAGGCCAGGCUGGAACCCAGGCUAGAACCCUCCUUGCCUGCGCCUCCCUGCCCUGUGCCUGCCUGCCCUCCCACUGUCUGUUCUGCGAUCAAGACGCCAACCGGGUCGGAUCUGACGUGCUCACAGCAGGCAAGGAUGGACUGACACGACCGUCGACGAGCUUGCGGGAUACUUCGACAACCUUGUAUACAUCCCGCGAAAGAUGUCCGUAAUGGCCGAAAUGAUGUACACGUAGCAGUGUCGGCCGCGCAAUGACGCGCAGCCAGGAAAUGAAAUGGAGUUGACCUCCGUACCUGUAUCUUGCCCGUGUUGAGUUGUGCUGAGGCAAUAACCGUAGGCAUACGAUGGCUGCAGACGUAGCAAGUCAUCGUCCCCCUCCCAUUCCCGCCUUGUACCCUAUAUUUCGUGAUACAGGUUUUUUUAUGCGCUUGCUUCUACUGGCCUAGAGCAAAACGUUUGUCCCUCCUCUUUUGUGAUAUGUGGACCCUGCUGCUCUAGCGUGCAAUUAGGCGAAGGCAAGCACAUGCUUGUCUUUACCGCAGGUUUAGUCUUUGUAAGCUGAGGAGAGCAGUGGUUCGAGGUGUGUGCUUAUUGAGCGCUUUUUUUUUUUUUUUUUGCACUUGCCACACUGCGCAAGACUUUGUUUA